rnacentral:piRNA from 1 species
GAGUCAUUUAAGCUGCCAUUUCA